rnacentral:rRNA from 1 species
GAUGAACGCUGGCGGCGUGCCUAAUACAUGCAAGUCGAGCGAACAGACGAGAGUGCUUGCACUCUCUGACGUUAGCGGCGGACGGGUGAGUAACACGUGGGUAACCUACCUAUCAGACUGGGAUAACUUCGGGAAACCGGAUCUAAUACCGGAUAAUAUUUAGCUUCGCAUGAAGCAAUAGUGAAAGACGGUUCUGCUGUCACUUCUAGAUGGACCCGCGGUGUAUUAGCUAGUUGGUGAGGUAACGGCUCACCAAGGCAACGAUACAUAGCCGACCCGAGAGGGUGAUCGGCCACACUGGGACUGAGACACGGCCCAGACUCCUACGGGAGGCAGCAGUAGGGAAUCUUCCGCAAUGGACGAAAGUCUGACGGAGCAAUGCCGCGUGAGUGAAGAAGGUUUUCGGAUCGUAAAACUCUGUUGUAAGGGAAGAACAAGUACGUUAGUAACUGAACGUACCUUGACGGUACCUUACCAGAAAGCCACGGCUAACUACGUG